UACGAAGGGUGCAAGCGUUACUCGGAAUCACUGGGCGUAAAGCGUGCGUAGGCGGUUGAUUAAGUCUGCUGUGAAAGCCCUGGGCUCAACCUGGGAACUGCAGUGGAUACUGGUCAGCUAGAGUGUGAUAGAGGAUGGUGGAAUUCCCGGUGUAGCGGUGAAAUGCGUAGAGAUCGGGAGGAACACCAGUGGCGAAGGCGGAUCUCUGGGCCAUUACUGACGCUGAGGAGCGAAAGCGUGGGGAGCGAACAGG
rnacentral:rRNA from 1 species